UCUGCACCUGCCGUCGCCGGCCUCCCUGCCUGUCCCGCGAGCCCUGGUCUGUGGUUCGCCGGGGCCGCCCUCGGUGACUUCGCUGCGCCAAGAACCCGGCGUGGUUCUGCCUGGAGAUGAACCGCUGCGCUCUGAGUUCAAGUCGUGCAGCGUAACGAGUUCCGAUGGCGGCGCGAUUGACCCGCGGUGGGACCGCGGCCUCGGGGUGGGGCAAGUCUGCACUUCCGCUGUCCCCGCGCAGCGCGUUUCGUUGUUUUCCCUGUGAGCCCCGUGACCGCAGUGUCUCGGGGUUUAGAUCGGGAAAAUGAGAGCGAUUGCCAUAGGAACGCCAGCACGGCCCAGACGUCACCGAAGAGGUCGAAGCCACUGUGUUAUUUCAAGGCCGGAUGGACGACCAGGAAGGAGCUGAUUCCAGCAGACGACCUGCUCUCUGCAAUAUGACGUCAGACGACCUCCUCUCGACAGUAUAACGUCAGAUGACUGCUCUCUGCAAUAUGAUGUCGACUUGAGUCUGUGUCAAAAUACAGCAGCAGCAGCACAACCCCCACUCCCCAGCUCCGACCUACUUUUACUUGGUGCAGAGCACGGAAAACCUUCUUCCUGAUCAGUGUGUACACUUAAUGAAACUAUGAGACACAUAAAACAAAUGAUUGUUGGUAUCUUGUUCAAAUACAAACGGGAACUUGCUCCAAAUUCCCUUUAGCCGAUAAAUUUUUUACCAAAGAAAAUGAGAAGAUAUUAUCUGGUGAAUGUCCCAUGCAUCUUAUAGGCAGCGCUGCUAAAAACAAAUGUUUGUUGACUCAUGAUUGAGGCUGUCAUGAUUUAUGGAGCUUUAUGGUCACUGUUUACUUUCUUCAAAAUGUGCAUAUGCACUAAUGAGAUUUCUGACUUUAUAGAAAUGGAAGGAAAUAGCCUUCUUAGGUGUGUGUCUCAAUGAUAGCUCUCAUUGUUGUGGGCUGUAGGAAAAAGGUUAAAACAUUGGCCUUCUGUAAAAUCUUUACUUCCAAAGUAGGGGAUAAAAAGAAUGUCUUUCUUGAAUUUGGAAACACUUGGAGAAUGAGGAUUGUGAAAAAGACCACAGUAAAACAGAAAUGUGUA